GUAGGUGGCAAGCGUUGUCCGGAAUUAUUGGGCGUAAAGCGCGCGCAGGCGGCCCUUUAAGUCUGAUGUGAAAGCCCACGGCUCAACCGUGAGGGUCAUUGGAAACUGGGGGACUUGAGUACAGAAGAGGAAAGCGGAAUUCCAAGUGUAGCGGUGAAAUGCGUAGAGAUUUGGAGGAACACCAGUGGCGAAGGCGGCUUUCUGGUCUGUAACUGACGCUGAGGCGCGAAAGCGUGGGGAGCAAACAGGAUUAGAUACCCUGGUAGUCCACGCCGUAAACGAUGAGUGCUAAGUGUUAGGGGGUUUCCCGCCCCCUUAGUGCUGCAGCUAACGCAUUAAGCACUCCGCCAGGGGAGUACGGCCGCAAGGCUG
rnacentral:rRNA from 1 species